ensembl:lncRNA
GGAAAGUAUCUGCCCAUAAAUGUUCAUACAAAUACUCAUAAUCAGCUUCUAAAGUUCAAGAUAUUCAACGUGCUCCUGCAUUCUUUGAUGAUACAGGGAACCAUUUCCAUUUUUCCCUGUAUCAUCAUAUGAGGAUAACGUACUUCAAACACGCAGGAGUCAAACUGGCCACUUUUUCUACCAGCAGAUGCUACAGACUCACCUAUACUUCAUAGUUGCCUGAGAUAUUCAGUGUGAGGAGCUCAGCCUUUAGUGGUAAAUAUAUUUUCCUUCUCUUGGUAGUGUUUUGUGGAAAGCAAAUAUGAAGAAAAGAAAUACACACCUGAAACUGAGGAUCACAGUUAUGUUUAUCGUACUAGAGUGUUCACAAAAUAUUCAAAUAUGGUUUGUCUGUACUAAAGUUUGUAGCUUUUAGUUUCACGUGGGUUAGUAACACAGGGGGUGAAGGAAGCUGAGUUAAUUUUUGCUUAUUUCAGUUUUCCUACAUUUCUACCUUUGGUUUUAAAGGGCUCCUUUUCCCCCUCCAUUCUCUUUCUACUUUGCUGCUUGUCCUUUUUGAUACGCACUCAGUGACCAAGAACUUUUCCAGACAUUUUCUAUUGCUACAUGGUUUUGGCUUUUAACAGUAGUUUUAAAAAUAUUAAAGGCUAUGGUACUUUUAAUUCCUUCCUCUAUCAUUCCGUCAUCUCCCCUUCUCCAAAAUACAUUAGGAAAUAAACAUAUGACCUGUUCUUCAGAAAAUAUGUCAUAUAAAGCUUUAUUUUAAAUUUUGGCAGAGACAGAUUCGCAGAGAUUUUUGUCAGAAUGGAAAUGUUUUGUGUGUAAAAAUGUUUACCAGGAAAACACAAUUUGAAUGGGACUGGUGUGCAGUACUUCGACAUUUAGAUUGCACAGGACAUAGGUAAGGCUAGAAGUGAUCUCCAUGGUGUUUGCUGAGAGCAGGAGUCAGUGGGAUCAGGGAAAAUAAUUACCUUAGGUUUCUCUGAAAAAUUCUGUCCAAACCUUUCAAUCACAGUCUAUUCUAGUUAUGCUAGAACAAAUCUGCAGCGACUUGAUUAAUGUUAAUGAAAUUGUGUUUCAUUCAUAGUGACAUGGUAAAGCAUAGAACAUGGAUGUCCAUCUUUAUUACAAUGAUACCAAAUCUGUCUUGGAGAUAAACUAAAAGUUAGCAGCCCUGAGUGAUCAUACCCUUAGUCUUGAUUGCCGAGGGGAAGCCUCAAGCUUCUGAAAUGAAUCAGAAUAGUUACUGUUUACUGAUGCCAGUCUCUUUGAAGCAUUGAACUUUUAACAGUAACAAUGUAUUUUUGAAGAACCUGGUGUGGUUUUGCCUUUUAAAGUAGAAUCUGGAAAUUAAAAAAAAUGUUGAUAGAGUUGCAUUGAACCAGUGUGUUAUAUAGGGUCCACUAAGACAUAAAUUAUUUUUUUCCUUUUACAAACCAGCAUAUGAAUUCAGCUCUCAAGUCACCCUCCAAAUCAAAAAUGAAAAAUACAAAGUCAACAAAGCUCAUGCCUGGAUGUUAAAUUUCCAACUGUCCAUGAUUUCGUGAUUAUUCCUUGAAUUUAGUGGUACAGAUUUGAAGUUGUUAGUGCCUAAUUCAUUAAGCCUUGUUUGCUGAAUUUUACAGGGUAUUGUCCUAAUCUACUAGCCUAAGUCAUUAAACAUUUAAUUCGGCAAUAGAGUUAUAAUUGCUAUUUGAUUCACUAGUUGAAGAUUUAUUUUCUCUAAUGAUGUUGCGUAACACAGAGUUAAUAUAGAUCUUGAGAUGGUUU